CCCCUUCCCGUGCCGACAUGGCGGCCAUGGCGGCCCCGGGGGUGCGGCCGGCUGUGGGUGCCGGUGCUGUGGGUGCCGGUGCCGUGGGUGCCGGUGUGGUGCGCGGGGCCGAGGCCGAGGCGCUGUUCGAGGCGCACACGGCGGCGGAGCUGCGGGCGGUGGAGCGGCGGCUCCGCGCCGGUAUCGAGCAGAAGCGGGAGGAGCUGCGGCAGAUGGUGGGCGAGCGCUACCGCGACCUCAUCGAGGCUGCCGACACCAUCGCCGAGAUGCGGCGGAGCGCCGAGCGCCUGCUGGGCGCCGUGCGGGGGCUGCAGCGCGGCUCGGCCCGGCCCGGCCCCGCCGGCACGGUUCACCCCCCAGCCCAGCAGAGUUUUUACGGGGCUGCGGCGCAGCUGAAGCUGCUGCUGGAGGUUCCCGAGCAGGUGUGGGGGGCUGUGGAAGGCGGCCGCUACCUGCCCGCGGCCCGGCUCCACCUGCUCGGGGCUCAGCUGCGCCGGCAGCUGCAGCUGGACACCCCCCGAGCCCGCUCCAGCCCCAUCCUCGCCCGCUUCCCCAUCCUGCUGCGGCAAGUGGCGGCUGCCAGCCACCUCAGAUCCACCAUCCUGCAGGAGAGCAAGGCGCUGCUGCGCUGCCGGACGGGCUCGGACCAGGCGGUGGCAGAAGCUCUGUGUGCCAUCAUGCUGCUGGAGGACAGCUCCCCACGGCAGGCCCUGGCUGACUUUCUGCUGGCCAGGAAACUUGCCAUCCAGCAGCUGCUCAACCAGCCCCACCACGGUGCAGGUAUCAAAGCUCAGGUGUGUUCCCUGAUGGAGCUGCUCACCACCACGCUGUACCAGGCCCACGCUCUCUUCUACACCGUGCCCGAGGGGAUGGCCCCGGAGCCAGCCCUGCCCUGUGGAUUGCUCUUCUCCACCCUGGAGAGCACCACGGGCCAGAACCCCGCAGGGAAAGGAGGGGUGCUGGAGGAGGAUCUGAAGCUGAGCAGCUGGUUCAAGUACCUGCCCGAGUCCGUGGUGGAAUUCCAGCCGGCCCUGCGGACCCUGGCACACCCCAUCAGCCAGGAGUACCUCAGGGAGACCCUGCAGCAGUGGAUCAACAUGUGCAGUGAUGACAUCAGGACAGGGGUCAGGACCCUGCUGGUGUACGUGAAGAGCAUGAAGGGGCUGGCAGGGAUCCGUGACGCCGUGUGGGAGCUGCUGUCCAGCGACUCCAGCAGCCACAACUGGGAGGCCGUGUGCCGGCGCCUGCUGGACAGGCCCGUGUCCUUCUGGGAGGAGCUGCUGCAGCAGCUGUUCCUGGACAGGCUGCAGACUCUGACCAAAGAAGGCUUUGACUCCAUUUCAGGCAGCUCCAAGGAGCUGCUGGCUGUAGCCUUGCAGGAACUGGAGGUGAAAGCUGGCAGCGGUGCCCUGAGCAAGCAGACGCAGCUGGAACACAACGUGGCCCUGUUCCUGUGGUCAGAGAGCCCCGGGGACCUGCCCGGGGACGCAGCGUGGGUGAGCGUGGGGCAGCGCGGGCCCUUCGCCAGGAGCGGGCUGGCCAUGAAGGCGCAGGCGCUCACCCCGUGCGUGCAGAGCUUCUGCUCCACGCUGGACUCCAAGCUGAAGGCCAGGCUGGAGGAUGUCCUGUCCUACCUCCCCGGGGACGACUGUGUCCCCAAGGAGCCGGCGGUGCCGGCGCGCCCCGCCUUCGACCGCUUCGCCGACGCCGGCACCGUGCAGGGGCUGCUCCGUGAGCGCUGCAUCGCCUGCACCCAGCACCUCCUGGGCUGCGUCCGGGAGCAGCUCCAGAGCCGGCUGGACACCCCUGGGGACGCCAAGCUCCACGCUGUGCUCUUCAUGGCCAGGCUGUGCCAGGCCCUGCCCGAGCUGUGCCCUCACCUGCAGCGCUGUGUGCUGGGCCAGGCGGGCGGCGCCGCCUCGGCGCCCAAGGAGCCGCGCUCGGCCAAGAAACUGGGCAAGGGCAAAGCCCAGGAAGUGUCCCCCGAGCUGGCCAAGUGGCAGGGGCUGAAGGCAGAGCUCCUGCAGCAGAGCCUGCUGGCUUAUCAGCUCUGGAGCUCGGCUGUCACCAAAGGUCUGGUUCAGUGCUUCACCCACACUUUGCUGCUCGACACAGCUGGGUCUGUCCUGGCCACGGCCACCAACUGGGAUGAGAUUGAAAUCCAGGAGGAAACCGAGUCUGGGAGCAGUGUGACAUCAAAGAUCCGGCUGCCUGUGCAGCCCUCGUGGCACGCGCAGUGCCUCCUGUUCAGCCUGUGCCAGGAGGUGAACAGGGUGGGUGGGCACACCCUGCCCAAGGUGACGCUGCAGGAGCUGCUGAGGAGCUGCAUGGCAGAGGUGCUGGCUGCCUAUGAAAAGCUGGUGGAGCAGAAGCAGGAGAAGAGGCCGGACAGCUUCCCCCUGACCCAGAGCAGAGCUCUGCAGUUACUCUACGACCUGAGGUACCUCAGCAUCAUCCUGACAGCCAAGAGCGAGGACACAAAACCCAGCAGGAUCAAGCAGGACUCUGGCAUUGAGAAGGUCAUGGACUUCCUGGAGGGACACAUCGAUCCCUUCGACCUGGAUGUCUUCACCCCACACCUGAACAGCAACCUGAACCGCCUGGUGCAGAGAACCUCGGUUCUCUUUGGCCUGCUGACUGGGACAGAGAACCAGUACACGAGCAGGGGCAGCGCUCUGAGCUCGCAGGAGCUCCACAACAUCCUGCCCUUAGCAUCCAGCCAGAUCAGGUUUGGACUGUUGCCACUGAGCAUGUCGAGCUCACGGAAGAGCAAGUCCAGUGCCAGGAGCACAGAAAGAGCCCAGUGAAAGGAAUCAUUAUGGCAGCACAGCAGGGGAUGGGGGGGAUUUCCCCAGGACCCUCCAAACCCCACCCUUUGCCCAAAAGCGUGGUUUUGGGGCCACUGCUGUGUGGCAGAGCAGGCAGUGAGGGUUUACAUGGCUGAGGGCAAUGCAUCAGAGACAACUCAUUGAACAGGGCUGCAGGAAAGGCUGAAGGACAGUAGCUAAUGCUUGGACUCCUUUCCAGUGGGAUGCUGCCCUGUAAGCCCCGAGGAGGCCUGGCCAGGAGCGGUGACACCUCCAGGAUUGUCAGGGUUUCCCAUCCUCGGGCAGAGCAGGGCGUGUCACGGGAAGCAGGCACAGCUUGGAUUGUCCUUGUCCCCUGGCUGCUGGAACAGAGGUGGAGCUGCUUUUUCACCUCCUAUCCUUACAUUGUUGAAAUCAAAUUAAAGAAAUAAAAUAAUAAUAAUAAUAAUAAAAAAAAAACCAGCCAAAACAACCUACACACUAAGAGAAAACAUUUCACAGCUGGAAAGGGUGCUGGAGCAGGGUAGGACACCUGUAUCCUCCAGGCUCUGAGUGGCCCCUGCAGCACCUGCCCGACCUGUCCUGGCUCUAAUUUCACAUUUCCCUUCCAGUCCUGCAGCAGUGAAGCUCAUGAGAGAACUCACCCCGAGCUGGGUGGGAGCUCCCAGGCCUAAAGGACCUGCACUCGCUGCUCCUAUUCUCACUAACUCUAAAUGCUCAAAAAAUUAUGUUGCCAAAUCAUUUUUUAACUAGUUUAUUGAAAUUAAAAAAAGACUUAUAAAACUGAAGAGGAACGCUUAAGAGAACUUUACAGAAAGCAACAACUUGCUAACAAACAGAUUAGGCAGUCGAUUGGAAUUGGACAGUUUGCAAUCCUAUAACACACAUGUGGACUCCUCAGUCUCCUCUUGCCACGUACUUUAGAACCACCCCAAAAAGAAUCCUAUAAAAAUUGCUCCAAAGCCCCUUUUGCAUUGCAAUAGUGCAGCAAACCACAAGUAAACAAUCUCCUGUUAACCUGUUAUUUCAAAUAUAGACUGAAAAGGCAACAGGCAAUUUUGUGCAAUUCCAU